UGCGCAGAUGUCGCCUCCUCAUUGGUCCAGGCGGCCGGAUGCUGAGCAUAUUGAGUCGCAGCCGCUGUGAGGACUGACGAGCACGGCGCAAACACAACAAAAAUAGAGAUCAUCCUAUUUUGUUGUUGUUGUCGCUCGGUGACGUCAUCGUCCUGAUUGGCGGCGAUGCGGAGGCGAGGUGACGUCGCGCGGAUGCUCGCCGGACCACGUGACCGGGGAUGAUGUGCGGGGGACGGAGCGAAGGAGAAGAAAGCAGAUGACAGCAGUACCAGCCAACGAUGGUGGACCCCUGCGAGGCCGAGAAGCAGAGCAAACCCAUUGGCCCGCUACUCUGCGCCCCCACACUGGCCUCUGAAGACCACCGCUUGCCAGAUCAGGCCGAUGGCGCCACCACAGAGGAGGAAGGAGAUUCUUGCUUUCAGACGCCGCCCUCGGGCAGCUGCGAUCCGAGCCCUUGCCAUGUCGUUGGGUUGCCGGGUAGCACAGCUCCAGACGACUCAGUUACAGAUGACUCCUUUCCAGAAGGCUCAGCUCCAGAAGGCUCAGUUCCAGAAGGCUCAGUUCCGGACCGAUCAGUUCCGGACCGAUCAGUUCCGGACCAAUCAGUUCCGGACGGAUCAGUUCCAGACGGCUCGGUUCAGGCGGCGAUUUCAGCUCCACUGCCGCAGCCCAACAAUGACGACCCGUCGCCCAAACUGCACCUGGACCUGUACAACUUUGACUCCCCCGCCGCAGAGGGCAGCCGCUACGUGCUGACCAGCCCCCGUUCGCUGGAGGCCUGUGCCCGAUGCAGCGUCAAACCCGUUGAGCUGCUGUCCCGCCCGCUGUCGGACAUUGCCCGCGAGGCGCCGGGUCGUUCCAUGCGGGUGGCUACGGGUCUGUUUGAAGUCUACGAGAGGGAGCGUCACGCAAAGCUGAGGCACUGCAGGGAGGAGAGGGAGCGCAUCAUCAGGGAGGAGAAGAGGAGGUCCAUGCAGGCGUCAGUCAAUAGCUCUCCUUCCUCUUCCUCGAUGGAGCAGCACAAAGUCUCCUGCAGUUCCUCCCAGUCUCCUACACCUGUGACCUCGAGUUUCGAUUCUGAAUCCACCCCUCCAGCACUGUCAUCUAAAGCAGGAGCACCUCUCCAAUUUGGAACCACCAAAGCUGGCUCCUCAGGGCCCAAGCAGUCCACAUCCUCGUAUGAACAAGCUAAAACCACAAGACCACAGUCAGGUGGUCCACCAGCGGUUGUCCGGAAGUCCUCUGGCAGAAAACCGUCAAACACAUUUCCCAGACCGACAUCUAAGCCGCCAACAUUUGUCCGAGCCAAGUCAACCUUGACGUCAUCAGUGUCAAAACCGCAGAGCACCGGCACGCCACUUAACGGUGGGUUCUCCAAGCACAACGGUCACUUCCAUCCAAACGCUAAAAGUCAUUCCAUGGAGUCCUUGCAGAGAAAGAUGGAGCCCCCCUCCACCUCCAACACCACAACGUGCACCUCCUCAGAGUCCGGUGCUUCGUCGUCGUACAGUUGGGACGGUCCGCGGGACCACUGGGCAAAAGUAUCCAGCCCCCGCGCUCGCACCUUGGCCACGUUCAACUCUCUGAUGGGCCGUAGCCUUAGCCUGGGGGACCUGAGCCACUCCCCCCAGACCACGCAGAAGGUGGAGCGCAUCGUCAAGGAGGUGAAGCGGCGAGGCUUGAAUGCCGUGUCAGAGCGAGACCGCAAGAUCGCAGCCUUGAUGCUGGCUCGAUAUCAGGAGGAGGACAUCAUGAGCCAGACCCGCUACGUGGCCCACCUCCAGUGGGACAGCGAGCGCAGGAUGGAGGAGCUGCGGCAUGAGCAGGAGGAGCGGGACAAGCAGCGUGCUGUGAUGGAGUACCAGCGCUUGUGGCAGACUCAGGUGUCCGUACGCCAGCGCAGACUCAGCCAGCAGGAGCGACGCUCGGUCGCCGCCAAGUUGCGCCAGGCCGAGGAGAGCGAGAAGCACUGGAAGGAGCUAGCGGAGCAGCAGGAGCGCCACCGCCUGCAGAGGCUGCAGCAGGCGGCGCGGGAGGAGAAGCACAAGAAAGCCUUGCAGGAGCAGAACCUGAAGGCCUUGGAGGAGGAGCGGGCCGCCGUGCUGGAGCAGGAGCGGCUGCUGCUGAAGGAGAAGCUCACCAUUGCCGAGCUGAAGAGGCAGGAGAAGGAGCACCAAGCCCAGGAAGAUAGAAGAGGCCUCAACAAGGCGGAGAGGAGGCGCCACGCCGCCCUGAUCCAGGAGAUCGCCCGACGAGAGCAGGAGGAGCGGGAGGAGGCCAAGAGGACGGCAGAGGAGAAGCUGAGCCGCUCCCUGGGGAACUACCAGCAGAUGGUGGAGCGCCGAGACCAGGAGCUGAAGGAGAAGGCCAGGCGGGAGGACAAGCAGAUCCAGCGUGCUCGCAAGGCCGCCGAGAAGCGCGAGAAGCAGCAGCGGCAGCAGCUGGAGGCUCGCGCCAAAGAGGCGGAGAAGCGCUCCCGACAGGCGGCGCUGGUGGCUGAGGAGCACGCCAAGGAGAAGGCCAAGCGGGCCGUCCAGUCCCGGCAGGAGAAGGAGCGUCUGCAGAGGCUCAACCGCCGGCGCGUGGAGGACGAGGAGGAGCAGCGGCGCGUGGACCUGCUGCAGUCCAUCGAGAGGAAGCUGGAAAAGAGCGAGCAGAUCUUCAAGGAGAAGCGAGCGGUGCUGGAGAGCGCUCGCUCCAUCGCCCGCGCCUCCUUCCACGUGCGCGACAAAGUGCGCGAGGAGACCAACGUGCGCACCUUUGACAAGAUGGCACUGGAAGCCCAGCUCAAAGCCAGCCUGGACGACAAGUAAGCGUCAGCAGAACCUUUUCUUCACCCCAAACUUCCCCCUCCAUCUCAGCAGGAAUCCACAUUUUCUAGUGCAGGAACAGGGUCUCCCUCCAUGGCCUUUAGAGGAGAACUCUUGCAGCCAUGAGUCAGGACACCACCACAGGGAACGGUGCUCCUGGCUGGACUUGGACUGAGGAUCAAUCACCCGCUCCAUGGUCCCGCCUCCUGCCUGGUCCCGCCUCCUGCCUGGUCCCGCCUUCUCCAUGGUCCCGCCUCCUCCAUGUUCCUCCAGCCGCCCACAUGCUCAGCUCCCCAGGUGUGCAAGGUGAACCUCCAGGUGUCCCCAAGAAGAAGUCACCUUCCCUAAGCAGGUGUACUUUGAGGAAUGAGAGCUUCACAAACAAGUCCAGUACCAAGACCUCAACCCUCCCCCUCCCCCUCCCCCCAUGGCCCAAAUGAUCAAGGUUAUCCACAGCACACCUGCUGAGGUGUGACUACGCUGGCCGGAGAACAAUCAAAUACCAAAAUAAAGUGUUUUUCUUCUUCUC